rnacentral:rRNA from 1 species
ACCUGAUGGAGCGACGCCGCGUGGGGAGUGAAGGGCUUCGGCUUGUAAACCCCUGUCAUUUGCGAACAAAGGCGCCAACCUAACACGUUGUUGCCUGAUAGUAGCAGAAGAGGAAGGGACGGCUAACUCUGUGCCAGCAGCCGCGGUAAUACAGAGGUCCCAAGCGUUGUUCGGAUUCACUGGGCGUAAAGGGUGCGUAGGUGGUGGACUAAGUCGGGUGUGAAAUCUCCGGGGCUCAACCCGGAGGGUGCGCCCGAAACUGGUUCGCUCGAGGAUGGGAGGGGAGACUGGAAUUCUCGGUGUAGCAGUGAAAUGCGUAGAUAUCGAGAGGAACACCGGUGGCGAAGGCGAGUCUCUGGACCAUUCCUGACACUGAGGCACGAAAGCCGGGGGAGCAAACAGGAUUAGAUACCCUGGUAGUCCCGGCCCUAAACGGUGCGCAUUUGCUGUGGGCGGAAUCGACCCCGCCCGUGGCGGAGCUAACGCGUUAAAUGCGCCGCCUGGGGAGUACGGCCGCAAGGUUA